GAUGAAGAACGUAGCGAAUUGCGAUAAGUAAUGUGAAUUGCAGAAUUACGUGAAUCAUCGAAUCUUUGAACGCAUAUUGCACUCUCUGGUAUUCCGGGGAGUAUGCCUGUUUGAGGGUCAGUAAAUAAUAAUUAUCAUAAUCUUUUGAUUGUGGAAUUGGGCCUUUAUUUCAUUUUUAAUGAUUUAUGGCCUUAAAUUUAUGUUACCGCUUGUUUAAUAUGAAAUUCGACCGAAUGGAGCAAUUAAACAUUCUCUCGUUAGGCGGAUUCAUCAAGCAAUUACGAUUUUUUGGCCGUCGAAGCACUUUUUUUUUAGAAGUGCUUGGUCGAGAUUGUAAGAUACAUUUAACAAUGACCUCAAAUCAGGCAAGAAUACCCGCUGAACUUAAGCAUAUCAAUAAGCGGAGGA
rnacentral:misc_RNA from 1 species